rnacentral:lncRNA from 1 species
AAAGGCAUACUUGUGGUAAAACCAGUCGAUUAGCGGUGCAGUCGACGGUUCCGUGCCUUUCCCUCUUGAGUUUUCCGCUCAAGGGUAUCUGUAUAAUAUCCCAAUAGAAACCUUACUUUAAUUAAUUGUGUGUGCGUCAUGGUCAAACCUAUCCAAGUUAGUUUUGUUGUUCGCAUAAUGACUCAUUAAGAUAGCCUUGUCCAAAGUCCAUCGGGUUUCCUUGAAACCCAAACAGACACCUACAUGUUUUGUGCAUUUAUUUGGUGAACUAAAUGCUUGCUAUGCUAAUUAUUGGUUUAAAUCUGGUGAGGCAAGG